UUUCCUUCAGCUCUCUCUCUCUCUCUACCCGAGACCUUCUCUCUCUUCAUUCUCUCCAGAAAUCGUCGCCGGCCGCCGGAACCCAUCCUUCACCAAAAUUUCCAGAUUUUCUUCUCUCCAUCCCCUCUUUCCAUUUCUCCAACCAAAAUCAUGAAAUUUAGCCAUUUAAUCCUCCAAACACCCUAGAACCGGAAGCUAAAAUUGGGGGUUUUCGUGAUUUCUUCAUCCCAAGUUCAAAUCAAGAGGCUAGGCUACAGGUUUGGCAAGGAUUUGUGGUGAAGAAGGCCAAGGAGAAGGAUUAGGCCGUGAGUUUUGAAGAAGAAAGGGAAACACGAUUGUUAUGGAAGCUUAAGCGGAAAGCAUCAGAGUGUGGAAUACGCCAGCAUUUUCCAAGUAGGGUUACAACGAGGUCAUUCCGGAAGAUUUGGAUUAGAAAUGGGUCAUUGGCCGAGUCCUUGUGUUGCUGUCCCUGUCGGUUGAAGUUCUUCCCUUUUGGUAUUCUAUCGAUUUACUCAAUUUUCUUUCAAUGUUGAACUCUGUGAGGUCCGCCUACCUGGGAGCGCGCCUCACCCCUUUGUAUUAUUGUUAUAGUUGAACUCCUUUCAUUUCGGUUAUGAUGUAAGCCCUAAAGCGUCACAGUGCACUUGCCCACUUUAUUUUAUAUUUUUUAAGCAUUUUCAGACUUGUUAAUUUGAAGUUGGGUUGUUGAUUUAAA